GCUGCGGUAGCUCAGUGGUAGAGCGGAGGAUUGCAGUUGAUCGACUAUCCUCAGGUCCUGUGUUCGAACCACAGUCGCAGCU
rnacentral:tRNA from 2 species